GAAGUAACUGAUACCACGCUUCCAGGAAAAGCCACUAAGCGAAAGGUUUAUUGGAACCGUACUGAAAACCGACACAGGUGGUCAGGUAGAGAAUACUCAGGCGCUUGAGAGAACUCGGGUGAAGGAACUAGGCAAAAUGGCACCGUAACUUCGGGAGAAGGUGCGCUUACGGUAAUUGUAGCUCUUUACGGGUGAAGGUGAAGUAAGUCGAAGAUACCAGCUGGCUGCAACUGUUUAUUAAAAACACAGCACUCUGCGAACACGAAAGUGGAAGUAUAGGGUGUGAUGCCUGCCCGGUGCUGGAAGGUUAAUUGAUGUUGUAAUCGAAAGAGAAGCAGCUGAUCGAAGCCCCAGUAAACGGCGGCCGUAACUAUAACGGUCCUAAGGUAGCGAAAUUCCUUGUCGGGUAAGUUCCGACCUGCACGAAUGGCAUAAUGAUGGCCAGGCUGUCUCCACCCGAGGCUCAGUGAAAUUGAAAUCGCCGUGAAGAUGCGGUGUACCCGCGGCUAGACGGAAAGACCCCGUGAACCUUUACUAUAGCUUGACACUGAACAUUGAAUAUUGAUGUGUAGGAUAGGUGGGAGACGAAGAAGUGUGAACGCCAGUUUGCAUGGAGUCGGUGUUGAAAUACCACCCUUUAAUGUUUGAUGUUCUAACGAAGUACCUGAGACGGGUACUCGGACAGUGUCUGGUGGGUAGUUUGACUGGGGCGGUCUCCUCCCAAAGAGUAACGGAGGAGCACGAAGGUUUGCUAAUGACGGUCGGACAUCGUCAGGUUAGUGCAAUGGUAUAAGCGAGCUUAACUGCGAGACGGACAAGUCGAGCAGGUGCGAAAGCAGGUCAUAGUGAUCCGGUGGUUCUGAAUGGAAGGGCCAUCGCUCAACGGAUAAAAGGUACUCCGGGGAUAACAGGCUGAUACCGCCCAAGAGUUCAUAUCGACGGCGGUGUUUGGCACCUCGAUGUCGGCUCAUCACAUCCUGGGGCUGAAGUAGGUCCCAAGGGUAUGGCUGUUCGCCAUUUAAAGUGGUACGCGAGCUGGGUUUAGAACGUCGUGAGACAGUUCGGUCCCUAUCUGCCGUGGGCGUUGGAGAAUUGAGGGGGGCUGCUCCUAGUACGAGAGGACCGGAGUGGACGCAUCACUGGUGUACCAGUUGUUUCGCCAGAAGCAUUGCUGGGUAGCUAAAUGCGGGAGAGAUAAGUGCUGAAAGCAUCUAAGCACGAAACUUGCCUUAAGAUGAGUUCUCCCUAACGAAGAGUUAGUAAGGGAUGUUUGAGACUAAGACGUAGAUAGGUGGGGUGUGUAAGUGUAGUGAUAUAUUGAGCUAACCCAUACUAAUUUCCCGAGGGGCUUAACCAUACAAUCUUGAGUGUUUUG
rnacentral:rRNA from 1 species